rnacentral:rRNA from 1 species
GUGCCAGCAGCCGCGGUAAUACCGGUGGCUCGAGUGGUGGCCGCUAUUAUUGGGUCUAAAGGGUCGUACCCGCUGAUAGUACCUGGGAAAAUCCCGGUGGCCUAAACCAUCGGGCGGGCCAGUGUAAAUAACUAAUCAGGGCUCGGGACUAGGAGAGACCAGAAGGUACUCAUGAGGUAGGAGUGAAAUCCUGUAAUCUUAUGAGGACCACCAGUGGUGAAGACGUCUGGUUAGAAUAGGUCCGACGGUGAGGGACGAAGGCUGGGGGCGCAAACCGGAUUAGAUACCCGGGUAGUCCCAGCAGUAAGCGAUGCCAGCUAUGUGUUGCUGGAACCAUGGGUUCCAGCAGUGCCGAAGGGAAGCCGUGAAGCUGGCCACCUGGGAAGUACGGUCGCAAGGCUGAAACUUAAAGGAAUUGGCGGGGGAGUACCACAACCGGUGGAGCCUGCGGUUUAAUUGGAUACAACGCCGGGAAUCUUACCGGAGGGGACAGCAGUAUGAAGGCCAGGCUAAAGACCUUGCCAGAUCAGCUGAGAGGAGGUGCAUGGCCGUCGCCAGUUCGUACCGUGAGGCAUCCUGUUUAGUCAGGCAACGAUCGAGACCCGCA